rnacentral:rRNA from 1 species
CACGCCGUAAACGAUGGAUACUAGGUGUAGGGGGUAUCGACCCCCCCUGUGCCGGAGUUAACACAAUAAGUAUCCCACCUGGGGAGUACGGCCGCAAGGUUGAAACUCAAAGGAAUUGACGGGGGCCCGCACAAGCAGUGGAGUAUGUGGUUUAAUUCGACGCAACGCGAAGAACCUUACCAGGACUUGACAUCCUCUGACGACUGUAGAGAUACAGUUUCCCUUCGGGGCAGAGAGACAGGUGG